UACGAAGGGGGCUAGCGUUGCUCGGAAUCACUGGGCGUAAAGGGUGCGUAGGCGGGUCUUUAAGUCAGGGGUGAAAUCCUGGAGCUCAACUCCAGAACUGCCUUUGAUACUGAGGAUCUUGAGUUCGGGAGAGGUGAGUGGAACUGCGAGUGUAGAGGUGAAAUUCGUAGAUAUUCGCAAGAACACCAGUGGCGAAGGCGGACUCACUGGUCCGGUACUGAC
rnacentral:rRNA from 1 species